GGGGCCUCUUGGCGCUAGGAAGAGGGUGGGACUCACCUUUUCCAGGUGAGACGCCGGGUUUACAGGGCUCUGGGAGUCCGACAGCCUCAGCCGGGCAUCAUGGCCAGCGCCAAACAGCAAGAUCAGGCCUGGAUCCCCAAACGCUUCAGGAAGAAAACCUGCACAACCUACAUCGAGGAUCCACGGGACGCGGGCGUCCCCCCUCAGUGCCAGUGCGGAAGCCCCCGGGCCGACCACGUCUCCGUGGCGGUGGAAGAUGCCUUUGGAACUGCUAUUGUCAGCAAAUGGGACUCGGCCCAGCACACCACGGAGGGGCCCACG